rnacentral:misc_RNA from 1 species
UUUCCGUAGGUGAACCUGCGGAAGGAUCAUUACAGAGUUCAUGCCCUCACGGGUAGAUCCCCCACCCUUGAAUAUUUAUACCUUAGUUGCUUUGGCAGGCCGUGGAAACACCAUGGGCUCCGGCUUAUGCGUGCCUGCCAGAGGAAACAAACUCUGUUUUUAGUGAUGUCUGAGUACUAUAUAAUAGUUAAGACUUUCAACAACGGAUCUCUUGGUUCUG